rnacentral:rRNA from 1 species
UGGGGAAUAUUGCGCAAUGGGCGAAAGCCUGACGCAGCGACGCCGCGUGAGGGAUGAAGGUUUUCGGAUCGUAAACCUCUGUCAGAAGGGAAGAAACCGCACUGUGCUAAUCAGCAGUGCCUUGACGGUACCUUCAAAGGAAGCACCGGCUAACUCCGUGCCAGCAGCCGCGGUAAUACGGAGGGUGCAAGCGUUCAUCGGAAUUACUGGGCGUAAAGCGCACGUAGGCUGCUUUGUAAGUCAGGGGUGAAAUCCCACGGCUCAACCGUGGAACUGCCUUUGAUACUGCUUAGCUUGAAUCCGGGAGAGGGUGGCGGAAUUCCAGGUGUAGGAGUGAAAUCCGUAGAUAUCUGGAGGAACAUCAGUGGCGAAGGCGGCCACCUGGACCGGUAUUGACGCUGAGGUGCGAAAGCGUGGGGAGCAAACAGG